UACGUAGGGGGCAAGCGUUGUCCGGAUUUAUUGGGCGUAAAAGGCUUGUAGGUGGCCACGCCAAGUCGGAUGUGAAAUCUCCCGGCUCAACUGGGAGGGGUCAUUCGAUACUGGUGGGCUCGAGGCCGGUAGGGGGAAGCGGAAUUCCCGGUGUAGUGGUGGAAUGCGUAGAUAUCGGGAGGAACACCAGUGGCGAAGGCGGCUUCCUGGACCGGUUCUGACACUGAGGAGCGAAAGCGUGGGGAGCGAGCCGG
rnacentral:rRNA from 1 species